rnacentral:lncRNA from 1 species
AGGGGGAUGCAAGUUGCAAUACGGUUCAACCUUAAGCGUCAAGCGAAAGUUCAAUAACUAAUACGAUGCUGUACAUUGAUAGAACAUUUUCUGUAUACCUGUUCCGAAUGAACGAACUACCACUCAUCUAUGAAAAUUCACCUAAACAUGAAUCAGAUUGCUAAUGCUGAAAUUGACCCAAACAAGGAUGACAUUGAACUGCACAUAUUAUCCAAGAGGUCAUUAUCCAGAAUAUAAAUUAAAAGCUGGAGCUUUAAAUCAACUGAUAAAUAAAACAUCCAUCUGUCUAAUGUAGAAAUGGUCUCAAAGUUCCCACACAAUCAUGAUAUCGGAGUUGACCGCUCCCCUCC